UGGAGAGGUUUAAGCCAAAUGGCAAGC
rnacentral:sRNA from 1 species